CCUAAAGCAAAUGUUUGGAGAGACAAACGAGGAGCGACGUGGAGUGGCCCACGUUGGAUACACGUGAACAGAAAUCAAAACGCUGCUCACAACUGGCAGUGCGGAAGAAAUGAUCUCAACUUCCGCAAACACUACAUCUCAGACGCUCAUUGGCUCGUGCAAAACACGGACAGCCACGGGAUUGGCUAGAGCUGACGUCAAUCAUGAGGAAGAGUGACGUCUCACAGCAUCAAACAGCUGGAUUGGCUGUAGCAGCAGAUGGAAGCUUACUUUUCUGUUUUCAAUAAUAAAUUAAUGCUAUAUUAAAUUUAAGAAACUAGAAUUGAGCGUUUCAAAAUAAAAUAAGAUGGACAAUUUUGUGUAAUGUAAUUUAAAAAUUGGCAAUUAAUCAACAUUAUUAAAGUUAGAAAAUUAUGCUUCGGCUUUCUGCCACAUCACAUUGAUGUCAUUAUUGGAGUUUUCAUGGAGAUUAAUCGGUUUUCUUGUAACUUAAUUUUAGUGUAGCGGUCAACCAGUAACAGGAAGUGAUUAAAAAAAGCUAUAUAUUUCAACAUCAAUAACAAAACCUCAAAGCUUUAUUAUAUAGUUUUAUGUUGAAAGUAUUUGGUGGAAAAAUUCAUCUGUAUUUUUAACAUAAAAAAAGUAAAAGCAGGAAAUGUAUUAAGGAAUUAAAAAAAAAAAAAAAA